rnacentral:tRNA from 1 species
GCCUGAGUGGCACAGUCGGUUGAGCAUCUGACUUCAGCUCAGGUCAUGAUCUCACAGUUUGUGAGUUCGAGCCCCGUGUCAGGCU